rnacentral:piRNA from 1 species
UGACUACUAUGCUCGAAAACGAUUGGUGAUC